rnacentral:rRNA from 1 species
AUUGAACGCUGGCGGCAUGCCUUACACAUGCAAGUCGAACGGCAGCACGGGAGCUUGCUCCUGGUGGCGAGUGGCGAACGGGUGAGUAAUACAUCGGAACGUACCCUGAAGUGGGGGAUAACGUAGCGAAAGUUACGCUAAUACCGCAUAUUCUGUGAGCAGGAAAGAGGGGGAUCGCAAGACCUCUUGCUUUAGGAGCGGCCGAUGUCGGAUUAGCUAGUUGGUGAGGUAAAGGCUCACCAAGGCGACGAUCCGUAGCGGGUCUGAGAGGAUGAUCCGCCACACUGGGACUGAGACACGGCCCAGACUCCUACGGGAGGCAGCAGUGGGGAAUUUUGGACAAUGGGCGCAAGCCUGAUCCAGCCAUGCCGCGUGAGUGAAGAAGGCCUUCGGUUGUAAAGCUCUUCGUGGGAGAAU